UAACCACUGUUGGAGCUAACUAGUGCUCUCAAAUCGCAUCCUGAUGUCUAGAGCAGAUGGGAGUUGUAUUCAUAACAUCGCUAACUUAGCUAGCUGACACGUUUUGAGAGAGAGAAAAAAAAAAGUACCCUCUCAGCUCUCUUGCCUGUCACUUUACCUAGUGGCAAUCCCCAUCGAAACCAGAUGCAGUUCGACUACAAUAAGGUCAGAGGUGACAUUGUGGUGAGUGUGUUUGAGGAGGACAUCAGGGACAGUGAGCUGCUGAGGACAGUGUGUAAAGGGAGCAUCGCUGGUCUACCACAAUGUGUCCCUCAUAGAUGUCAUCGAGAAGGUGGACUACAGCGAGAUCCACGGAGUCAACGUCAAAGGAACCCAGCUCCUUCUGUAGACGUACGUCUGGGAAAAUGUGGUGUCCAAAGAAAGAAAGUGAAUAAAGGCUAAAUAAUUGCCCAAGGCCCUGCCUGUAAGACUGUUCCUAUAGCUGACCAUCCCCUGGUCCAUGCUUAUAAUCAUUAUUACAGUGGUCUGUAAAUGUG
rnacentral:lncRNA from 1 species